AUUGAACGCUGGCGGCAUGCCUUACACAUGCAAGUCGAACGGCAGCGGGGACUUCGGUCCGCCGGCGAGUGGCGAACGGGUGAGUAAUGUAUCGGAACGUACCAUUGAGUGGGGGAUAACUAUCCGAAAGGAUAGCUAAUACCGCAUAUUCUCUCCGGAGGAAAGCAGGGGACCGCAAGGCCUUGCGCUCAUUGAGCGGCCGAUAUCAGAUUAGCUAGUUGGUGGGGUAAAAGCUCACCAAGGCGACGAUCUGUAGCGGGUCUGAGAGGAUGAUCCGCCACACUGGAACUGAGACACGGUCCAGACUCCUACGGGAGGCAGCAGUGGGGAAUUUUGGACAAUGGGGGCAACCCUGAUCCAGCCAUGCCGCGCGAGUGAAGAAGGCCUUCGGGUUGUAAAGCUCUUUCGGCCGGGAAAAAAUCGCAUGGGCUAAUAUCCUGUGUGGAUGAUGGUACCGGAAUAAGAAGCACCGGCUAACUACGUGCCAGCCGCCGCUGUAAGAC
rnacentral:rRNA from 1 species